rnacentral:rRNA from 1 species
GACGAACGCUGGCGGCGUGCUUAACACAUGCCAGUCGAACGGAAAGGCCUCUUUCGGGGGGUACUCGAGUGGCGAACGGGUGAGUAACACGUGAGUAACCUGCCCUUGACUUUGGGAUAACUUCAGGAAACUGGGGCUAAUACCGGAUAGGAGCUCCUGCUGCAUGGUGGGGGUUGGAAAGUUUCGGCGGUUGGGGAUGGACUCGCGGCUUAUCAGCUUGUUGGUGGGGUAGUGGCUUACCAAGGCUUUGACGGGUAGCCGGCCUGAGAGGGUGACCGGCCACAUUGGGACUGAGAUACGGCCCAGACUCCUACGGGAGGCAGCAGUGGGGAAUAUUGCACAAUGGGUGGAAGCCUGAUGCAGCAACGCCGUGUGCGGGAUGACGGCCUUCGGGUUGUAAACCGCUUUCGCUCAUGACGAAGCUUUGUGUGACGGUAGUGGGUAAAGAAGCACCGGCUAACUACGUC